rnacentral:rRNA from 1 species
GAUGAACGCUGGCGGCGUGCUUAACACAUGCAAGUCGAACGGUGAACACGGAGCUUGCUCUGUGGGAUCAGUGGCGAACGGGUGAGUAACACGUGAGCAACCUGCCCCUGACUCUGGGAUAAGCGCUGGAAACGGCGUCUAAUACUGGAUAUGUGACGUGAUCGCAUGGUCUGCGUCUGGAAAGAAUUUCGGUUGGGGAUGGGCUCGCGGCCUAUCAGCUUGUUGGUGAGGUAAUGGCUCACCAAGGCGUCGACGGGUAGCCGGCCUGAGAGGGUGACCGGCCACACUGGGACUGAGACACGGCCCAGACUCCUAAGGGAGGCAGCAGUGGGGAAUAUUGCACAAUGGGCGCAAGCCUGAUGCAGCAACGCCGCGUGAGGGAUGACGGCCUUCGGGUUGUAAACCUCUUUUAGCAGGGAAGAAGCGAAAGUGACGGUACCUGCAGAAAAAGCGCCGGCUAACUACGUG